rnacentral:lncRNA from 1 species
UUCACUUUCAUCACCAAAUCUCACAAAUCCAUAACCCUUUGUGCGUCCAGUAAGCCUAUCAAUGACAACCUUUGCACCUUUAGUAGAGGGAUAGCGGGCCCUGAAGGUCUCUUGAAGCAUGUAAUCAGUAACGUCAGCAGCCAAAUCUCCAACAAAUAUUGUGUGGUCAGGGGUGUCAUCGCGCUUCUCGCCAGCACCAAAAGAUGCCCAGUUUAGCCUGAAGUUCUGCUCACCGUUUGGCAUAGGGGUACCGUUAUAUGUCUGCAAAACUCUUUCAGCACCAGCACGCGAAAUAAACUCAAUAAAUCCAUAACCUUCUAUUUGACCAGUUUGCUUAUUACGAAUUACUUUUACAGCGACAAC